rnacentral:tRNA from 1 species
GGGGGCGUGGCGGAAUUGGCAUACGCAGAGGACUUAAAAUCCUCGGCCGUGAGGCUUGCGGGUUCGAGUCCCGCCGCCCCUACCA